GGAUUAGAUACCCUGGUAGUCCUAGCUGUAAACGAUGGAUACUAGACGUAGGAACUGGAUUGACGGUUUCUGUGUCGCAGCUAACGCGUUAAGUAUCCCGCCUGGGGAGUACGGUCGCAAGAAUGAAACUCAAAGGAAUUGACGGGGGCCCGCACAAGCGGUGGAGCAUGUGGUUUAAUUCGAUGAUACGCGAGGAACCUUACCAGGGCUUAAAUGUUAGGUGACAGAUCUAGAAAUAGAUUUUUCUUCGGACACUUAACAAGGUGCUGCAUGGUUGUCGUCAGCUCGUGUGG
rnacentral:rRNA from 1 species